UACGAAGGGGGCUAGCGUUGUUCGGAAUUACUGGGCGUAAAGCGUAUGCAGGCGGACUUUUAAGUCGGGGGUGAAAUCCCGAGGCUCAACCUCGGAACUGCCUUCGAUACUGGAAGUCUUGAGUCCGGGAGAGGUGAGUGGAACUCCGAGUGUAGAGGUGAAAUUCGUAGAUAUUCGGAAGAACACCAGUGGCGAAGGCGGCUCACUGGACUGGUAUUGACGCUGAGGUACGGAAAGCGA
rnacentral:rRNA from 1 species